AGGGAAGGGAUAAGCGAUGAAAGCAUAUAAGCGCGAAGCACACCUGAAGAUGAGAUUUCCCAUGAUUUUAUAUCAGUAAGAGCCCUGAGAGAUGAUCAGGUAGAUAGGUUAGGAGUGUAAUUGUGGUGACACAUUUAGCGGACUAAUACUAAUAGCUCGAGGACUUAUCCAAAA
rnacentral:rRNA from 1 species